rnacentral:rRNA from 1 species
CAGUAGCCGCGGUAACACGAAUGGUGCAAGCGUUAAUCGGAAUUACUGGGCGUAAAGGGUGCGUAGGCGGUUGUUUAAGUCUGCUGUGAAAUCCCCGGGCUCAACCUGGGAAUGGCAGUGGAUACUGGCAAGCUAGAGUGUGUCAGAGGAUGGUGGAAUUCCCGGUGUAGCGGUGAAAUGCGUAGAGAUCGGGAGGAACAUCAGUGGCGAAGGCGGCCAUCUGGGACAACACUGACGCUGAGGCACGAAAGCGUGGGGAGCAAACAGGAUUAGAUACCCCGGUAGUCCCUGUCUCUUAUAC